UUUGUGCAGCGCUGGAAGAACAGGAAAACAAGUCUGGUCUCUGGCUCAGUCUCCUCCCACCCAUGAGAGACCCCUGAGCUAAAGUAAACUGUGCUGUGAAAGCUCGUAUGACAACAUCUGAUCGGGCUGUGUUUUCUGAUGAACCAAAGGAUGGAGACUCUCCUCCAAGUACUCAUAGGGAUAUUAGAGUUGCAAGUGGCCUGGGUCAGUAGCCAAGAACUGGAGCAGAGUCCACGUUCCCUGAUCAUCCAAGAGGGAGAAGAUUUCACCAUAAACUGCAGUUCAUCAAAGACUUUCUAUACCCUGGGCUGGUACAGGCAAAAGAAUGGUGAAGGUCUAAGCUCCUUGAUGAUGUUACAGAAAAGUGGGGA